rnacentral:lncRNA from 1 species
GUGACUUAUUGACGUAGACAUUACAAUCGCAUGAGCUAGUGGAUUGCCUAGUUAGACAACUUGCAUAUGGAGAGAAAUAAAUAGUAGAAUUUUGCUUUUAUAAGAGUAUAAGAUAAGAUAAGAUACAUAGAUAUAGAUAUUUAGCGUAAUAUAAUAACGUUUAACUUCUAAAAACGAGAUCUGCAAUUAUUUCGUUCGAAAAGAGUAUGAGAAACCCUUCUAAUAAAUAGGGCACGUAUUGUUUGCAUUCCCACAGUUAUGGUUAGAAAAUUAGCCACCCAACCAAACAUACCCAUAUUAUUUGCAUGAUUUCACUUGUUCACACACGUGACAAAAGAAAAAAUAGAAAAAAUAAAAUGAUUAUUUUUUGGGGUAAGUAAGUGGUUAUUCAAAAGGGACCUCUCCGUCACUAGUUCUUAACCACACUGAGACAAUGCUUGAUUUUCUAAAUAGAGAGAAAAUUGCAUGAGUGAAAAAGGAAACCCACCAACCAACU